rfam:Dipodomys ordii contig_15499, whole genome shotgun sequence.
GGGAAUGUGGCUUAGUGGUAGAGUGCUUGCCUAGCAUGCAUGAAGCCCUAGGUUCGAUUCCUCAGUACCA